rnacentral:rRNA from 1 species
AACGAACGCUGGCGGCAGGCUUAACACAUGCAAGUCGAACGCCCCGCCAGGGGAGUGGCAGACGGGUGAGUAACGCGUGGGAACAUACCCUUUUCUACGGAAUAGCUCUGGGAAACUGGAAUUAAUACCGUAUACGCCCUACGGGGGAAAGAUUUAUCGGGGAAGGAUUGGCCCGCGUUGGAUUAGCUAGUUGGUGGGGUAAAGGCCUACCAAGGCGACGAUCCAUAGCUGGUCUGAGAGGAUGAUCAGCCACAUUGGGACUGAGACACGGCCCAAACUCCUCGGGGGGGGAGGGGGGGGAAAUAUGGGAGAAGGGGCGAAGGCCUACACCACCCACGCCCCGGAGUUAUUGAGGUCUUGGGGGUUGAAAAGCUCUUCCCCCAAUGAAGAAAGUGACGGUAGUCGGAAAAGAAGCCCCGGCUACCUUCGUC